AAUUCCCCACUCUUUCUGCAAGUGUUUGGUGUGUAUCGGCGAAAUGGGAUUAGGUCUUUGAAUGCAGAGCAGUGCCCGUUUUUCCUGAAUUAAGGACAACUGCGCGCUCAGUUAGAGCGCCCCUGAGAAUCUGCAGGUGGAGAAGGCUCGGGGAGGGGCCCGGAGGGAGGGACGAGGGCGAGUCCGGGGGCCGCGCGUGUCCGCCCAGCUUCCACGGAAGGUGAAGGGCCUAUUUCCUCGGGGAGACAGGCACCGCUUCCUCAGUUUCCCUCCGCCGCCGCGAGUGCGCCCGGGCCGGGCCCAGCUGGGGAAUCCGAGGCUCUGGGGGAGGGGGUGGCGGGAAAUGGUGCCUCGCUCGCCCCAGCGACAUCAAACCCUCGUUUGGCGUGCGAGGACAAUGGCUGUCUUAUUUUCUCCAUUCGCCGCGCACAAUGCCGGAUUCUCUCAUUCACCCGCGGUGGUGCGAGCGAGGGACCUGCAACCAAGUUUGUGACCAACCAGCUUGCUGAGUCAUCUUGAAAAGCGGACAUACAGGUGUUCUAAGCCCAUGUUUUAUCCUGAAGGACCCCCUCGACACAGAAAAACGAAUUCAUAGCACAAAAUACACCAGCUUAAGACUAGCCUUAGAAUUCUUUUUCGCAUUAAUCAAAACUUUACAAAGGAGAUAAAGAUUUUUUUUUCCAUUCA